rnacentral:rRNA from 1 species
AUACGGAGGGGGCUAGCGUUGUUCGGAAUUACUGGGCGUAAAGCGCGUGUAGGCGGAUCGUUAAGUCAGGGGUGAAAGCCCGGAGCUCAACCCGGGAACUGCGUCUAAAACCGGAAGACUAGAGUACUGUAGAGGAGAGUGGAAUUCCUAGUGUAGAGGUGAAAUUCGUAGAUAUUAGGAGGAACACCAGAGGCGAAGGCGGCUCUCUGGGCAGUAACUGACGCUGAGACGCGAAAGCGUGGGGAGCAAACAGGAUUAGAAACCCUAGUAGUCC